rnacentral:rRNA from 1 species
UGGGGAAUAUUGCGCAAUGGGGGGAACCCUGACGCAGCCAUGCCGCGUGAAUGAAGAAGGCCUUAGGGUUGUAAAGUUCUUUCGGUAUUGAGGAAGGUUGAUGUGUUAAUAGCACAUCAAAUUGACGUUAAAUACAGAAGAAGCACCGGCUAACUCCGUGCCAGCAGCCGCGGUAAUACGGAGGGUGCGAGCGUUAAUCGGAAUAACUGGGCGUAAAGGGCACGCAGGCGGUUAUUUAAGUGAGGUGUGAAAGCCCCGGGCUUAACCUGGGAAUUGCAUUUCAGACUGGGUAACUAGAGUACUUUAGGGAGGGGUAGAAUUCCACGUGUAGCGGUGAAAUGCGUAGAGAUGUGGAAGAAUACCGAAGGCGAAGGCAGCCCCUUGGGAAUGUACUGACGCUCAUGUGCGAAAGCGUGGGGAGCAAACAGGAUUAGAUACCCUGGUAGUCCACGCUGUAAACGCUGUCGAUUUGGGGGUUGGGGUUUAACUCUGGCGCCCGUAGCUAACGUGAUAAAUCGACCGCCUGGGGAGUACGGCCGCAAGGUUA